rnacentral:rRNA from 1 species
AGUGGCGGACGGGUGAGUAACACGUGGGAACGUGCCUUUAGGUUCGGAAUAAGCCCGGGAAACUGGGUCUAAUACCGGAUGUGCCCUUCGGGGGAAAGAUUUAUCGCCUUUAGAGCGGCCCGCGUCUGAUUAGCUAGUUGGUGGUGUAAUGGACCACCAAGGCGACGAUCAGUAGCUGGUCUGAGAGGAUGAUCAGCCACAUUGGGACUGAGACACGGCCCAAACUCCUACGGGAGGCAGCAGUGGGGAAUCUUGCGCAAUGGGCGAAAGCCUGACGCAGCCAUGCCGCGUGAAUGAUGAAGGUCUUAGGAUUGUAAAAUUCUUUCACCGGGGACGAUAAUGACGGUACCCGGAGAAGAAGCCCCGGCUAACUUCGUGCCAGCAGCCGCGGUAAUACGAGGGGGCUAGCGUUGCUCGGAAUUACUGGGCGUAAAGGGAGCGUAGGCGGACAUUUAAGUCAGGGGUGAAAUCCCGGGGCUCAACCUCGGAACUGCCUUUGAUACUGGGUGUCUUGAGUGUGAUAGAGGUAUGUGGAACUCCGAGUGUAGAGGUGAAAUUCGUAGAUAUUCGGAAGAACACCAGUGGCGAAGGCGACAUACUGGAUCAUUACUGACGCUGAGGCUCGAAAGCGUGGGGAGCAAACAGGAUUAGAUACCCUGGUAGUCCACGCCGUAAACGAUGAUUGCUAGUUGUCGGGG